rnacentral:tRNA from 1 species
GGGAAGGUGGCUCAGUGGUAGAGUGCUUGCCUUGCAUGCAUGAGGCCCUGGGUUGGAUUCCUUAGCACCCA